GACGAACGCUGGCGGCGUGCUUAACACAUGCCAGUCGAACGGAAAGGUCCUGCUUGCUGGGUACUCGAUUGGCGAACGGGUGAGUAACACGUGGGGGAUCUGCCCUGCACUUCGGGAUAAGCCUGGGAAACUGGGUCUAAUAUCGGAUAGGAGCCAUUUUUAGUGUGAUGGUUGGAAAGUUUUUUCGGUGUAGUAUGAGCUCGCGGCCUAUCAGCUUGUUGGUGGGGUAAUGGCCUACCAAGGCGGCGACGGGUAGCCGGCCUGAGAGGGUGGACGGCCACAGUGGGACUGGGAUACGGCCCAGACUCCUACGGGAGGCAGCAGUAGGGAAUGUUGAACAAUGGGCGCAAGCCUGAUGCAGCGACGCCGCGUGGGGGAUGACGGUCUUCGGGUUGUAAACGCCUUUCGCUAGGGACGAAGCUGUUUGUGACGGUACCUAGAGAAGAAGCACCGGCUAACUCCGUG
rnacentral:rRNA from 1 species